UACGUAGGGGGCAAGCGUUGUCCGGAUUUAUUGGGCGUAAAGAGCGUGUAGGCGGCCAGACAGGUCCGUUGUGAAAACUCGAGGCUCAACCUCGAGACGCCGAUGGAAACCGUCUGGCUAGAGUCCGGAAGAGGAGAGUGGAAUUCCUGGUGUAGCGGUGAAAUGCGCAGAUAUCAGGAAGAACACCAAUGGCGAAGGCAGCUCUCUGGGACGGUACUGACGCUGAGACGCGAAAGCGUGGGGAGCGAACAGG
rnacentral:rRNA from 1 species